rnacentral:sRNA from 1 species
CACCCAUUCUUUGAGCCAAUCCAAACACCGAAUCCAAGUGUCUGCACUCAUCAACCAUGUCCUAUGCAUAAUUUUGCCGCCAAAUGUACUCCUGAGUCUUAUUUCUCAAUGACAUGUGUUGUUAAUUCUGGAGUUAGGUCUCUUUAUUACGCACAAAAUCUUCGUCUCUGUCUGCCUCCUAAUCACUUCCUCUAUUGAUUCUGCAAUUUCCAGUUGCUUCAUCACGGUAGCUUGCAGCACCUGAUAAAUGUAAGGAGGAAAGAUUCGAUACAUUUUAUCCUAUCCCAAGAUUCCAAGAGGGAGCGCUCUUUCUCCAAGGGAAUCUCUGGUGGCUUGUUGCCAAGCUCAUCGACCUUACCCUCGAGCCUCUGAAGCCGCUCGAUGACAGGACUGAUGCGGUCUACACUGAAAGUCUCCACUGCUGGAUGAUCAUCAGAAGUUGGUUCAGGCUCAGCUGGAGGCAAUGGAUUGUCAACCCGCAUCUCCUGCUGACCAUAUGCUAUGUGGAAGAAGGCAAAAACUUUUAUAAUCAAGGCCAGCAGUAAUCUGAAGAAACGGCGGAAAAAUCCUUCAUCCGUGUUCUCUUUAGGUACGACUGUUCGGCUUCUGUUGCUCGAGGAAAUACCGCCUCUGUUGCUUGAGGAACCUAUACAAACAAAAAACACUGAACAGACUACUCGAAGCAAAUAGUUAAGAAUGGUUCUAAGGAAGAACUAAGGUCUAAGAAUAGUAAGGAAAGCUUAUCCAUAAGAAUUACAAAGGUGAAUAGAAUCUUGUAAGGGGAGAAUAAAAAAAAAACAGAUUUGCUGAAUUACAUAAAAUGACAUAUGAAGACUAUAAAUAAACAUACCCGUUGCAUAUGAUGUUGUGCUACCUCCAAAAGGCCGAGCUUGAGCUCUUACUUCUGGGGCACUAGUUUUAUCAGGCAUCGCUCCUCCUCUACCAUAGUCAACAGUUUUGUCUACCACAACAAAGUGAUCAUCGCAGCUGUAGUAAGCUGCAGAGUCUCGUGCUCUGAUCUGCAUUUCUUCACGAACUGGAGCUAAUCGACUACAUUCCACUGGCCUUCUCAUCAUUGGAGAACUGAGAUCAUCAACAUCUGAACCCGACUCCACUGUUGAUGUGUCACUGCUUCUACCCUGUCAUGAAUGUAGCCUAGCAAAUGAACCCCUUCGUUGCUCAAUCUCAGACAAGCGCCGAGUAUGUCUAGUAAAUUUUGCCUCCUUAUUAUGUGCAACCUUCAUAAUGUUAGGAUCAUUCCAUGGGCCUUUGUUAGACUUGAGGCAUCCUCCCUCAGCAGCACAAGUGCAUGCUCCACCCAAAAAUUCAGGAACUUACCUUGCAUCUAUCACUUCAAGGAGUUUUCCAUGAAAUUUUGAUUCAUACUCACAUGUAUCUUUGAUGCAGUUUUGGGAUCAAGGAAGCCUUUCACUGUAUUCCAGAGUAGUUUGAAACCAUUACCAGCAUUCACAACAAACAUCUGAUGCAGUGUCUGAGAUAAUAGUCACUGUCAAUCUUCUGCAUUCUACCCAGCAUGUCCCUGGCUGUUUUGCUGAAGUUCUUGAGACCCUGCAACAGAAUUGGCAAUGAAUAGUAGGAACAUUAUUAGGAUUACAGUUUGUAAUAAAAUAAUUCGUGAGAAUUUGCAGCACAAACAAAUGUGAUUUCAGAUAUGAGAAGAAUCAGCAUACCACACCAUCGACAUCAAGUAUGGUCGUAGUAGAAUCAAUAUGCCUUUUCGCUGCAAUAGAGCAUGCUGGAAACUUUUCAUGGAAUGCUCUCUCAAACUCUUGUACAUGAUACUUCAUAUAGCGGUCAACUGUAGUAAUGUGCAUCAGUUUAUUUGGUUCAACUUUUCCUAGUCUCUCUAUGUAUACCGGUCUUCCCUGCCUGUCAACUCCAUGGUAACCCUGAGGAUAAUAGACAAGGACCUCGUCUAGCUCUUCAAAAUUGAACCUCACCUCUAGUAUUGUGUCUGCGCCGAAUUCUUUCCUCCACUGGAGCAUCUCAGCCCACAUUUGAAUGGCUUUCUCAGUGUCAAAUUUCCUAGCCUUCAAAAACCUCAGCAACAUGUGGUAAUCGUUAUGCUUGUCAGGCAGCAAGUUCCUGCUAAAAAGCUCCUGCUGGAAGGAAAAGACAGCACGCUCCUCUUCUUCAUCCCUGACAUCUUCGAUUGUGAAUGAGGGCCGAUUCUCCACCUUUCUCUUCCCCCUCUUCUUGAGUGAAUGUGUUAGCUUGUUUGAUGCAUUCAGUGCCUUCUUCUUGAGUGACCCAAUGGAUAGCCUUCUCCGCUCGUCCUCCGAGUUCUCCACAUCUGACCUUCGAUCUUUCCUCUCGUCAAACGAGAACAGGCCCUCCAUACUCUCUGAUCGGCGCCGAACU